UACGAAGGGGGCUAGCGUUGCUCGGAAUCACUGGGCGUAAAGGGUGCGUAGGCGGGUCUUUAAGUCAGGGGUGAAAUCCUGGAGCUCAACUCCAGAACUGCCUUUGAUACUGAGGAUCUUGAGUUCGGGAGAGGUGAGUGGAACUGCGAGUGUAGAGGUGAAAAUUCGUAGAUAUUCGCAAGAACACCAGUGGCGGAAGGCGGCUCACUGGCCCCGAUACUGAC
rnacentral:rRNA from 1 species